rnacentral:rRNA from 1 species
CGGGACGGGUGAGUAAUGUCUGGGAAACUGCCUGAUGGAGGGGGAUAACUACUGGAAACGGUAGCUAAUACCGCAUAACGUCGCAAGACCAGAGGGGGACCUUCGGGCCUCUUGCCAUCGGAUGUGCCCAGAUGGGAUUAGCUAGUAGGUGGGGUAACGGCUCACCUAGGCGACGAUCCCUAGCUGGUCUGAGAGGAUGACCAGCCACACUGGAACUGAGACACGGUCCAG